AUUGUGCUUUUUGAUUGUGCUUCGUCAGCAUCAGAGGCUGAGAAGAAGCUGGAUUAAGAUCAAGGAUUCUAGAGGUUUCAGAUGUACCACGGGGGAGCAUAGGUGGGCGUGCAGACAGGUGUGGAGGAUUUUGUCCAGAAAGAAGGAACUGCCAAACAAUGGAGUGACUUCAGGAGAAGACAAAGAGUCCUGAGUUGGUAUGCUGGGAGCAAAACCUGAGGAGCAACCACUCUGACAAAGAAAACCAGACUGUUGACAACAAUCCAUAAAUCAAACAAAGCAGGUGCUUCUUUGAAGAUUAGGGGUGACUUCCCACCAGACUUACACCAACAAUCACCUCAAAUUAAAAAAAAAAAGAAAGCUA